GCCUGGCUGGCUCUACCGGUAGAGCAUGCGACUCUUAAUUUCAGGGUUGUGAGUUCAAGCCCCACGCUGGGCA
rnacentral:tRNA from 1 species